ACCUGGCUGGCUCAGUUGGUGGAGCGUGUGACUCUUGAUCUGGGGUUGUGAGUUCAAGCCCCAUGUUAGGUA
rnacentral:tRNA from 1 species